UACCCGAAUGGGGAAACCCAGUGUGACUCGUCACACUAUCAUUAACUGAAUCCAUAGGUUAAUGAGGCGAACCGGGGGAACUGAAACAUCUAAGUACCCCGAGGAAAAGAAAUCAACCGAGAUUCCCCCAGUAGCGGCGAGCGAACGGGGAGGAGCCCAGAGCCUGAAUCAGCAUGUGUGUUAGUGGAAGCGUCUGGAAAGGCGCGCGAUACAGGGUGACAGCCCCGUACACAAAAGCGCAUGUGCUGUGAGCUCGAUGAGUAGGGCGGGACACGUGGUAUCCUGUCUGAAUAUGGGGGGACCAUCCUCCAAGGCUAAAUACUCCUGACUGACCGAUAGUGAACCAGUACCGUGAGGGAAAGGCGAAAAGAACCCCGGCGAGGGGAGUGAAAAAGAACCUGAAACCGUGU
rnacentral:rRNA from 2 species